rnacentral:rRNA from 1 species
CAGUAGCCACGGUAAUGCGUAGGGUGCGAGCGUUAAUCGGAAUUACUGGGCGUAAAGCGUGCGCAGGCGGUUGUGUAAGACAGGUGUGAAAUCCCCGGGCUUAACCUGGGAACUGCGCUUGUGACUGCACAGCUAGAGUAUGGCAGAGGGGGGUGGAAUUCCACGUGUAGCAGUGAAAUGCGUAGAGAUGUGGAGGAACACCGAUGGCGAAGGCAGCCCCCUGGGCCAAUACUGACGCUCAUGCACGAAAGCGUGGGGAGCAAACAGGAUUAGAUACUCGAGUAGUCCCUGUCUCUUAUAC